AUUGAACGCUGGCGGCAGGCCUAACACAUGCAAGUCGAGCGAGCGGCGGACGGGUGAGUAAUGUCUGGGAAACUGCCUGAUGGAGGGGGAUAACUACUGAAAACGGUAGCUAAUAACGCAUACCAUCAGAUGUGCCCAGAUGGGAUUUGCUAGUAUGUGGGGUAACGGCUCCCCUAGGCGACGAUCCCUAGCUGGUCUGCGAGGAUGAACAGCCACUCUUGAACUGAGCCACGGUCCAGACUCCUACGGUAGGCAGCAGUGGGGAAUAUUGCACAAUGGGCGCAAGCCUGAUGCAGCCAUGCCGCGUGGGUGAAGAAGGCCUUCGGGUUGUAAAGCACUUUCAGCGGGGAGGCGUUACCCGCAGAAGAAGCACCGGCUAACUCCGUGCCAGCAGCCGCGGUAAUAC
rnacentral:rRNA from 1 species